GCUUUAACUUACUGAAACGCAGGAUUACCUAUGAGUUCUACUCUACCAAGAGACCUUACAGCUUAGUUAUCCUUUACCAUGUUUGACAGAUGGCACUGAAUCUUUAUCUUCUUUUGGAGUGAAUUGGGUUGUUGAUGGAGCAAUGCUGCUCGGAAUAUUUUCAGAUUCAAGCUCUCUGAUUGAGGCAUAUCUCUAGAGACCUUUAAGAUUGGUAUUUUAAAUUCGGAUUCUAAGCAUGUAC